CCGGCCAAUUUAAGAUUCAAGUUAAAUCCCUCUAGGCAAGACAGAGUGUUUCGUUUCUCAGCUAAAGAAAAACCCAGAUUCUUCACAUCGUCGCGACUUCUGCUUCUCGUCUCCCAUCUUCUUCGCGAAUCCGAUUUGCAGAUGGUUCUAUGCCUGUUUCUGAGAACCACAUAUUAGAUUAGACAUGGGAAUCCAAACUCUUAUAUGGCAAGUGACGAAGAAAGCAUUCACUGGAGGUAUUAUAGGGCUUACCAUUUCAGAUAGGUUUUGUAGCGUUGUUCCUGUGAGAGGAGAUUCCAUGUUUCCCACGUUUAAUCCCCAGAGAGAUUCUUAUUUAGAUGAUUAUGUUCUCGUAGACAAAUUUUGCCUUAAGGAUUACAAGUUUGCGCGUGGUGAUGUUGUAGUGUUCAGCUCUCCGACUCAUUACAGGGAAAGAUACAUAAAAAGGAUAGUGGGGAUGCCUGGGGAAUGGAUAAGUAGUACUGAGGAUGUGAUCAGAGUCCCAGAAGGACAUUGUUGGGUAGAAGGAGAUAAUAAAGCUUCCAGCUUAGACUCAAGAACCUUUGGCCCUAUUCCCUUGGGUUUAAUUGGAGGACGGGUCACUCGUGUCGUGUGGCCUCCUCAAAGACUAAGCAAGAUUGGUGGCUAAAGCUAAUGUAGUAGGCGAAAGAAGAAAAGGUAAAUUUCUUGUCCUCCUCCAGAUGAAAUAUUCUCUUCCUCAAGAUCCAUUGUUGAGGAAUCUGCUUUGAACUAAAGAAUGGUUUUGUCUGGUGUUCGUUUGUUAUAAUGAAAUGGAUCUAUUCUUCUAAAUUCACAUUUCUCAAAUCGGAAUUGAAGUAACGUUUAUGCAUAAUAAUUUUUGUGCUUGUCUUCUAGUGGCCUCUUCGUAAUUACAUAUCAUGUUCAGGGGUGAAUACUACACAACGUGUCAGGUUAGAUUCUCUGCGUUUUUUGAAACUGAUGCUUCGAACUAUGUUUCAAACUUUCAAAACCAUAAUUAAAUAAGAGAGAUGGUACAACUAAGGCUUGUCUGGUUUGAAGUUGGAAU